rnacentral:rRNA from 1 species
AAAGUUUGAUGCUGGCUCAAGAUGAAAGCUGGCGGCGUGCUUAACACAUGCUAGUCAAACGGAAAAUAUUUCAUUGAGACUUCGGUGGAUUUGAUCUAUUUCUAGAGGCGGAAGGGUGAUUAACACAUGGGUACCCUGCCUUAUGCUCGGGGAUAACAGUCAAAAAUGGUUGCUAAUACCGCAUAACCGCACUGAGCUGCGUGGCUCAAUGUGAAAAACUCCGGUGGUAUAACAUGGACCCGCGUGGGAUUAUCUUGUUGGUGGGGUAACGGCUCACCAAGGCGACGAUCCAUAGCCGGCCUGAGAGGGUGAACGGCCACAUUGGGACUGAAACACAGCCCACACUCCUACGGGAGGCACCGGUGGGGAAUAUUGCACAGUGGGGGGAACCCUGAUGCAGCGACGCCGCAUGAAGGAACAAGUAUCUGGGUAUGUAAACUUCUAUCACACAGAGAGAGAUAGUGACGGUCACCUGAAUAGAGAAGCCCCGGUUAAUUACGUGCCCGCAGCCGUGGUAAUACGUAGGGGCCAAGCGUUAUCCGGAUUUAUUGGGUGUAAAGGGAGCGUAGACGGUGUGGCAAUUGUGAUGUGAAAGGCAUGGGUUCACCCUGUGGAUUGCAUUGGAAACUCUCAUAUUGGAGUGCCGGAGGGUAAGCGGAAUUCCUAGUGUAGCGGUGAAAUGCGUAGAUAUUAGGAGGAACACCAGUGGCGAAGGCGGCUUACUGGACGGUAACUGACGUUGAGGCUCGAAAGCGUGGGGAGCAAACAGGAUUAGAUACCCUGGUAGUCCACGCCGUAAACGAUGAAUAAUGGGUGUCGGGUGGGUGAGCCAUUCGGUCCCGUCGCAAACGCAGUAAGUAUUCCACCUCGGGAGGACGUUCGCAAGAAUGAAACUCAAAGGAAUUGACGGGGACCCGCACAAGCGGCGGAGCAUUUGGUCUAAUUGGAAGCAACGCGAAGAACGUAAUCAAGUCUUGACAUCCCCCCGUCGGGAAUCUAACCGUUCCUUUCCUUCGCGACAGGGGAGACAGGUGGUGCAUGGAUGUGGUCAGCUCGUGUCUGUGAGAUGAAGGGGUAAGUUCCCCAUCGAGCGCAGCCCCCAUCUUCUGUAGCCAGCAUCUAAGGUGGGCCCUCUGGGGAGAUCGCCAGCGAUAACCUGGUAGGAAGGCGGGGAGGACGUCAAAUCAUCAUGCCCCUUCUGAUUUGGGCUACACACGUGGCACAAAGGUGUAAACAAAGUGAAGCGAGAGGGGGCCGGGGAGCAAAUCCCAAAAAUAACGUC